rnacentral:rRNA from 1 species
CGGCUCAGUAACACGUGGAUAACCUACCCUUGAGACGGGGAUAAACCCGGGAAACCGGGUAUAAUACCCGAUAGAUCUCGACUGCUGGAAUGCAUCGAGCUUGAAAGCUCCGGCGCUCAAGGAUGGGUCUGCGGCCUAUCAGGUAGUAGUGGGUGUAGCGUACCUACUAGCCUACGACGGGUACGGGUUGUGAGAGCAAGAGCCCGGAGAUGGAUUCUGAGACACGAAUCCAGGCCCUACGGGGUGCAGCAGGCGCGAAAACUUUACAAUGCUGGAAACAGCGAUAAGGGGACCUCGAGUGCCAGGUUACAAAUCUGGCUGUCGUGAUGCCUAAAAAGCAUUGCAUAGCAAGGGCCGGGCAAGACCGGUGCCAGCCGCCGCGGUAACACCGGCGGCUCGAGUGGUAACCGUUAUUAUUGGGUCUAAAGGGUCUGUAGCCGGCCGGAUAAGUCUCUUGGGAAAUCUGGCAGCUUAACUGUCAGGCUUUCAGGAGAUACUGUCUGGCUCGAGGCCGGGAGAGGUGAGAGGUACUUCAGGGGUAGGGGUGAAAUCUUGUAAUCCUUGAAGGACCACCAGUGGCGAAGGCGUCUCACCAGAACGGACCUGACGGCAAGGGACGAAAGCUAGGGGCACGAACCGGAUUAGAUACCCGGGUAGUCCUAGCCGUAAACGAUACUCGCUAGGUGUCGGCAACGGUGCGACCGUU